GGAGUUGAAACUCAGUGGUAGAGUGCUUGCCUCAUACGUAUGAGGCACUGGGUUCAAUUCCUAGCACUACA
rnacentral:tRNA from 1 species